rnacentral:rRNA from 1 species
AACGCUGGCGGCGCGCUUAACACAUGCAAGUCGAGCGAGAACCGGAGCUUCGGCUCCGGGGACAGCGGCGAACGGGUGAGUAACACGUGGGUAAUCUGCCCUCGGUUCUGGGAUAGCCCGGGGAAACUCGGCUUAAUACCGGAUAGCCUCUCUGGCCUUUGGGCCGGCGAGCAAAGGUAGCUUCGGCCCCCGACCGAGGCUGAGCCCGCGGCGGAUUAGCUUGUUGGCAGGGUAACGGCCCACCAAGGGGACGAUCCGUAGCUGGUCUGAGAGGACGAUCAGCCACACUGGGACUGAGAAACGGCCCAGAAUCCUACGGGAGGCAGCAGUGGGGAAUCUUGCGCAAUGGGCGAAAGCCUGACGCAGCGACGCCGCGUGAGGGAAGAAGGCCUUCGGGUUGUAAACCUCUUUCAGGCGGGACGAAGCCACUCGGGUGAAUAGCCCAGAGGGUGACGGUACCGCCAGAAGAAGCCCCGGCUAACUACGUGCCAGCCGCCGCCGUAA